GGGCCGGUCGUCUAGCAUGGUAGGACAUCGCACAGACCUAAAACAGCCCUUACGAGGCUGAGGCCGCCGGUUCAAGUCCGGCCCGGCCCA
rnacentral:tRNA from 1 species